rnacentral:rRNA from 1 species
GACGAACGCUGGCGGCGUGCUUAACACAUGCAAGUCGAGCGGUAAGGCCCUUUCGGGGGUACGACGAGCGGCGAACGGGUGAGUAACACGUGGGUGACCUGCCCUCAGCUCUGGGAUAAGCCUGGGAAACCGGGUCUAAUACUGGAUAUGACUCCAUGACGCAUGUUGUGGGGUGGAAAGCCUUGUGCGGCUGAGGAUGGGCCCGCGGCCUAUCAGCUUGUUGGUGGGGUGAGGCCUACCAAGGCGACGACGGGUAGCCGGCCUGAGAGGGCGACCGGCCACACUGGGACUGAGACACCGGCCC